AAUUAAUAAGUUUUACAGAAACAUGUAUUUUGAAAAUACAAAAUAGAAAAUGAACCUUCUAUUAAUUU
rnacentral:tRNA from 1 species